UACGUAGGGGGCAAGCGUUGUCCGGAUUUAUUGGGCGUAAAGAGCGUGUAGGCGGUCAGGUAGGUCCGUUGUGAAAGCCCGGGGCUCACCCCCGGAAGUGCAUUGGAAACUGGCGGACUCGAGUCCCGGAGAGGAGAGUGGAAUUCCUGGUGUAGCGGUGAAAUGCGUAGAUAUCAGGAGGAACACCGGUGGCGAAGGCGGCUCUCUGGACGGUGACUGACGCUGAGACGCGAAAGCGUGGGGAGCAAACAGG
rnacentral:rRNA from 1 species